GAUGAACGCUAGCGAUAGGCUUAACACAUGCAAGUCGAACGGACCCUUCGGGGUUAGUGGCGGACGGGUGAGUAACACGUGGGAACGUGCCUUUUGGUUCGGAAUAGCUCCUGGAAACGGGUGGUAAUGCCGAAUGUGCCCUUUGGGGGAAAGAUUUAUCGCCAUUAGAGCGGCCCGCGUCUGAUUAGCUAGUUGGUGAGGUAAAGGCUCACCAAGGCUACGAUCAGUAGCUGGUCUGAGAGGAUGACCAGCCACAUUGGGACUGAGACACGGCCCAU
rnacentral:rRNA from 1 species